ACAAAAUGUCAGUUUUGGAUGUCUGAGUUAUAGGGUUUUUCUUUCAAUGAAAAUUCUCUGGUAGAUGUCAGAGGUUCAUCGUCACUUUUGCAAUUCUUGAAAAAAGGUUACAAGCCAAGAACAUUCAGAGAAUUCCUUUUUGUGGGAGAGCACCUACAUUAAAGAGCGUAAAUACGAGUCACCUAUCGAGUGAAACACGUGAGGGAGUGAUUGAUGAGGUCCACUUUUUUUUCAAUUAUUUUUUAUUUUGCUGAAAUGUCAGGCAAUGGAGUUGUUCCACAAGGGCAGUUACAAGGACUCAUUGAGGAAAUCAUGCAAAAUUUGGAGACUUUAAUUAAUGCAAGAUUGGAUAGAAUAGAACAAAAGUUUUAAGCUAUGGAAAAUACCCAAGUAAGGAGACGAGUUGUGGAGGUUCCUAAGGAUGAAGAAGACUCAGAGCAAAAUGAAUCUAACUUUGACCCUACUAUAAAUGGACCCACGAGAGAGGAGCGGCAUGGGCCGAGAGGAAGGGGAGGUUUUCACAAUAGAAAGCCACAAAGUAGAAGAGAAAGCCUCUAUGGAGAUCGAGCUUUUGGAAACAUUAAAGUUAAAUUUCCAAAAUUUUAUGAUACAUCUGAUCUUGAAGACUUUUUCUAAUGGGAACUUGAGGCAUAACAUAUUUUUUGUGGUAACGAACUCUUUGAAGAGAAAAAGACGAACUUCGGCUACCACACUGCCGACGUCCACAUCCUUUCCAGUCGUUGUCCUCUGUCGAACACCGUCGUGAGGUUCGUAGUUUUGGGAUAAGAUUUAAAUGGUUUUCAUGGUUUUAUUGAGGAUCUUGAAUACCCAAUAAAUAACGUGUUUAAUUAUCAUUUCAAUCGUGAUUUUGGAGGUUGAAUUUGAAAGUUUGAAGGAGUUUAAAAGGUUGUUAGCGUGCUGUCAAGCAGAAGGUGAUUUCGGCAAGAAUUUUGGAUUUAAUUCAAAGAUUGUGGAGAUUAGAAGGGGUUAGUUGCUCAAAUAUUUGGCUCGAUUAAGGAUUGAAGAAUUUCACAAAGAUUCAAUUGCUUUUUGGUUCAACCUAAUAUCAAAAUAAGGAAAAUGACACACUGGCGAAUGACAAGAGAAAUCCUUGAAUGAGCCACUGGGACCAGUUUUAUGCUUCCUAUUUAGAUUUCUUUCCAUGUUUUUCAACUUUCAAUUUGAUGUUUGAAACUUACUAUUAAGAUUUAUUUUCAGA